AUUACUUUCAUUUGCAAAUGUGUCACAAUCUCCUACAGAGGAUUUACAAGAGUUUGUAAUAAAUAUCUAAAGGUCCAUUUUAAUUUGCCCUCCUGACCCACUGAUGGGCUGAAAAAUGAACACAAACAAGAACUAAGAUGUUUUUGGGGAGUUUGGCUCAAAAGCCGUUUCAGAGAGUCUCAAGGAAACAAAUCAGCAAUUAAAAUCCAAAGAAGUCCAGAUAGGUUUUGUUGGUGUGCAGGAAACCAGGUGAUGAUAGUCUGCUGCAGUUAGUGAUUGAAAACUAAUACUGAAUAUUCUCUAUUAGUUAGCGAGGCGUUUAGCCUUUAUAGUCUCAGGUGUUCGGAUGGAGAAAAGUCUUAAAAUCAAUGUUUUUGAUGCAAACGUGUAUGAGAGUAUAACCGUUUUAGAUGCAUUUUGUCGGUGUUGUGUAGGUCGAUAAUAGGUUUGUACAGGUUUAGAAAACGAUUGAAGACGGUGUAUGUUUUUUUUUUUUUUUUUUUUUUUAAACUUUUCCAGUCAAGGGUUUAAGUAAGAAAGGUUCACCAGAUGCCUGUAGACUAAUGCUCACGAAACCACCAGACACACACUCUUACUGGCAUGUUUUCUAAAAGCAUUCAGUGUUUUGUUCUUAUGGGUGAAUUAAAGCACAGUUGCUUUUUUGCUUUACCCAGUCUUAUUAGUGUAGAUCAGUGAUGUUCAGGAGGAGUGAUGUGGAAGUGAUGGACACAUGGUAGAAAUUCAACGAGCUGUUAUUGUUCAGUGCACUUCAGAUGAGUUCAGAAAGUUAAUGUUCAUGCCUUAAAUCAAUGAACUCUACCAGGUAAAGGGAGGAUAUCUUAUCUUGGCCCCGCAAGGAUAAAUUCCUUCUUGUUUUUCUGCUAUGGUCACAUCAGGCUCAGUCUUCUCUUACUACUACUACAUGAAUUGGUUCUUUUAGAAACCACAUUGAUUUUCAGCCUGAAAUAAGCAGCAAUAACAAAGACGUUUUCACAUCAUGCACUCAUGAGUAUGAGAUGAGACACUGUCCCGCUACGUGUCGUGUAUCGUAGUCAGAAAUGUUUGCGUCAAACUUAUGUUCUCGUUCUAAGUUAUUCCUAAAGUAUUGGGAUUUGGGUGCAUGUGUGUUGAAAAUACAAGUUGUUUUGUUGAAUUUCAUAUUUAUUUUGUAAAAAAAAGUACAAAGUGUUUCAUUCAUUUUCUGUCAGGAAGCGACUACUUUGUAAAUCCAAGCAUAUCAUGCAUUGAUAAAUGUGUCCUCUGGUUGCGAAAAAGAAGGGUUUUGUUUGUAAAUUAGCAUCUCAACAGUAGCACAUUUAUACUUUAUGAUGUUUUCGUUCCCCUCAUAGAGACGAUAUUUCCCUGUCUGAACUGUUGUUGUACAUGUGUUGUAGCCUUUGGGUACCGCAAACUGUCGUGAAAACUACAGUCAUCGUUUAUUUUCUUUUUAUCUUCAGGUCUGUAGGAACCAUAACCUCCAGUGUAUAAUUUCAACAGCUUCUGGAAACUGACAGCAGAGUUACAAGCCACUAAAAUGUUAGGCACCUUUUGUAACCCCUAGAAUGUAUGUUCUUGUUUUUGUCAGGUUAAACGUACAUUAGCAUCUGAUCUGAGCACAUUGUUGUUGAAAGUCAGCAUUUCUUUUUGUCCACCUGUCAUGUUUUGGUUCUCUGCAGGUCACAGUGCAUUGUUGAGGUAAAAUCUUUAAUUAUUAAUGAAUAUUCAAAUCAGGAUUUUGUUUUGUGUGUGCGGCCGUGGUGAAAGAAUGCAAUGUUUUCAGGGUUUUUUGUGGAGUUUUGUUUUAAAAAAAAAAAAGAAGUUCAAGUUAAGAUUUGCACCAGGGUCGAAAUCAAAUCACCUUCAGGUACAACGCAUGUAAAACCUUCAGAAGUAACGGGUCAUGGCUGUGUUGAAUUCAUCAUGAAAUAUAUGCCAUUUGAUCCAAGAUAUACAGCACUACACAUAUCUAAAAGCUGUUCAUUUUUAUUCAAAGGGGACUUUUCAUGUGAGAAGUCACUGUUGAACGCUAAAAGGUUUACAGAUGCUGACAAAUGAUAUAAAAUUGAUGUAGGCUAACAGAAUGAAAGUGAAUUGACUCCAACCCUGAUACAGUCGCUGUCCAAAGUGCUUUUAAGGGAAACUGUAGCUUAUCCAGCAACUUAACAAUCAAUUGUUUUUGUUUUUUUGUUGCUACAUACUGUGUUAAAAAAAUACAGAUUUGUACUUGUGAAAUAUUAAUGGGCCCCAAUAUUCUCUUUUGUAUCAAAUUUUCUUUGACAAAAAUAAAAAAAUUACUAUUUUGAUUUGA